UACAGAGGCCUCGAGCGUUAGGCGGAAUCACUGGGCUUAAAGCGUGUGUAGGCGGACUUCUAAGUACCUUGUGAAAUCCCACGGCUCAACCGUGGAACUGCUCGGUAUACUGGUUGUCUUGAGCCAUCUAGGGGCGAGCGGAACAAGUGGUGGAGCGGUGAAAUGACGUAGAUAUCACUUGGAACGCCAACGGGUGAAAACAGCUCGCUGGGGAUGU
rnacentral:rRNA from 1 species